rnacentral:misc_RNA from 1 species
AACUUUCAGCAAUGGAUCACUUGGUUCUCGCAUCGAGGAAGAACGCAGCGAAAUGCGAUAAGUAAUGUGAAUUGCAGAAUUCAGUGAAUCAUCGAAUCUUUGAACGCACAUUGCGCCUCCUGGUAUUCCGGGAGGCAUGCCUGUUCGAGCGCUAUUAAAAUCUACUCAAGCUCUUUUGCUUGGUAUUGAGGGAUGAGUAUGUAUAAUACAUAUACUCACUUUCGAAAUUCAAAGGCGUAGAGCCACAUGUGCCAUAGCGUAGUAAGUUUUCUUUCGCUUGGAAUGUGUGGUAAUACCGCCAUAAACCCCCAAUUAUUCUAGAUUAGCCUCGAAUCAGGUAGGGAUACCCGCUGAACUUAAGCAUAUCAAUAAGCGGAGGCU